rnacentral:rRNA from 1 species
AUGGCGCCACCACCGCCACCACCAUGUCGACGGUGCAAGUCAAGGUGCGCCAGCAGCCUUGCAACUGGCCCGCUGUUCGGCAUCUACUUCGAGUCUAGUUUUCUUCAUGCGGCGAUCGUCCCAUGCAAUGUGAGGUCAGAAUUUAACAAGCUGACCGGAGACUCUGUGACCUUUGAGGCUCCUGGGGGGCCCCUACACUAUGGAGGUCGAGAAAGUGCGAAAUUUGACGCAGUAGGAGGAGAUGGAUGGGUCCGUUUCAUCGCCCACAUGCGUAUCACCGGUGGUGAGUUGAUCAGCUUCUCCUUCAGAGCAGAAAGACCCAAGCUGGCCGUGAUUUAUGUCAACAAAGCAGAAGAUGAUGAAGAUGAUGAGGAUGAUGACGACCCACUUGGUGAAGCUAUCGUAGCUCAAAGAAUGAGGUUGAGCGAGGAGGAGGUGUGCAACCUAUGGGACAUCAUUCCGCCACGUGCUGACUUCGUCGGGGUGCCAUUCGUGACCCGCCUGACAAGUACCAUGGUUGAUCGGCAUAUCAUGAAAUUGCCAAAGAGCCUAUCUGAGAGUUGUGGUAUCAAACCUAAUGAAGAAGGCUCUGCUAGAAUACGCCUUACCGCGAGGGGCUCUGUCACCACUUGUGCGUACGGCGUGGACACGGACGGUCGCACACACUUCAACUCGGUUGGGUGUAAGAGCUUCCUUGUCGGCAAGAAUCUUCAUGUUGGAUAG